rnacentral:rRNA from 1 species
GACGAACGCUGGCGGCGUGCUUAACACAUGCAAGUCGAACGGAAACGCCCUGCUUUUGUGGGGUGCUCGAGUGGCGAACGGGUGAGUAACACGUGAGUAACCUGCCCUUGACUUUGGGAUAACUUCAGGAAACUGGGGCUAAUACCGGAUAGGAGCUCCUGCUGCAUGGUGGGGGUUGGAAAGUUUCGGCGGUUGGGGAUGGACUCGCGGCUUAUCAGCUUGUUGGUGGGGUAGUGGCUUACCAAGGCUUUGACGGGUAGCCGGCCUGAGAGGGUGACCGGCAAAAUGGGGACUGAGAUACGGCCCAGACUCCUACGGGAGGAAGCAGUGGGGAAUAUUGAACAAGGGGCGGAAGCCUGAUGAAGAAAGGCGGCGUGCGGGAUGACGGCCUUCGGGUUGUAAACCGCUUUCGCCUGUGAGGAAGCGUGGGUGACGGUAAUGGUAAAGAAGCACCGGCUAACUACGUG